UACGGCCCGCGGGAUUGCGACAUUGCCGUGGUGCUGGACAGGAUAUCAAGGCAGGAACUUUGGAUAUGGAUUACUUCUGUCUCGGCUGUCACGUGGAAAUUAUGGGUCCGUGUAUGGAACAUCCGCUUUCCUUUGGAAGUUUAUGCAAUCACGAAUGCAAGAAUGAACUUCUAGCAACAAGUUACAGCAUUGGCGAGGACGAUAUUUACGUAAGCGCUUU